AAAAUUCAUUAGAUGCAGUAUUGGCUGAGUCCUUUCUAAUCUAAUUAAAGAGACCUGCUCGUAAAAAAUGUGUUUGACUCGCUUCAAAGCAACCUUUAAGUUUUUUACACUGUCGCAUCGAACAUAAAAGGCCUGAAAGAAUGAAAUGUAAGCAUCCUGUAAAAAGAAAUUACUUAAAAUACAUACAGCUAACUUGGGCAGAUAGUGGAUAUAACAUUGGCAAUCCACACGGACUUGAUUGAAUAAAGUAAGAUUUUCUCCACCGAAAAAUUCGUAAACGUCCAAAUCAUCUGAAGGUAAUGUGAAUAAACCCUAAUAAUCGUCAAGUUAUUAUAAAUGAGCUCAAUAUGUAAAUAUUACCUCUGCACGAAAUGACAAAGAAGGAUCCACAUUGAGUAAAUAUUUUUUUAAAAUCAAAGCAUCGCGUUUCUUCUUUCUUACUAAAGCAGCUUCUUGACUUGGAAAAUCUUUUCGGGGAUUUCUGUACCAUUUGGAAGCUGCCUUUGUCUCGCCUUCACGAGUAUGGGAGUUGUAAAGUGUUUGCAGUGCCUUGGUAGCCAAGUCAAACAUUUGUGGGGUUUCAUAAUAUAUGAAAAUAGCCUGUAGUAAUAUAUGCUAAUUAGAAAUGCAAUCAAUGAAUGGAUAACCCCAAACAAACCUACACUUGAGUGCUCUUCAUACUGAAUUAAUGAAGAGGUUCUUCUUUGAAUUUUCGAAAUCUCAGUUUUAUACCUCAAAAAAAAUUUGUUAAAUUCAUAAAGGGUUCUGAACGUAGGAUAUGAACAUUCGCCUAGGUGAAAAGCAAUAUAUUAGUCAAAGCUCCCAGUACAUUCAAUGAGCAUUUCAUACGUUUUUUUCUUAUUGAAAAUUUCUUAUUUUCUGCCAUUGCAUGUUUUUUUCUCUGAAGUCGACUGCUCUUGAAUUCCAAUCUGUCAGCAAAUCAU